GAUGAACGCUGGCGGCGUGCUUAACACAUGCAAGUCGAACGGGAUCCAUCAAGCUUGCUUGGUGGUGAGAGUGGCGAACGGGUGAGUAAUGCGUGACCGACCUGCCCCAUACACCGGAAUAGCUCCUGGAAACGGGUGGUAAUGCCGGAUGCUCCAGUUGAUCGCAUGGUCUUCUGGGAAAGCUUUCGCGGUAUGGGAUGGGGUCGCGUCCUAUCAGCUUGACGGCGGGGUAACGGCCCACCGUGGCUUCGACGGGUAGCCGGCCUGAGAGGGCGACCGGCCACAUUGGGACUGAGAUACGGCCCAGACUCCUACGGGAGGCAGCAGUGGGGAAUAUUGCACAAUGGGCGCAAGCCUGAUGCAGCGACGCCGCGUGAGGGAUGGAGGCCUUCGGGUUGUAAACCUCUUUUAUCGGGGAGCAAGCGAGAGUGAGUUUACCCGUGAAU
rnacentral:rRNA from 1 species